AUACGGAGGGUCCAAGCGUUAUCCGGAAUCAUUGGGUUUAAAGGGUGCGCAGGCGGUUUAAUAAGUCAGUGGUGAAAUCUCGAGGCUCAACCUCGAAACUGCCAUUGAUACUGUUAGACUUGAGUUCAGUUGGAGUAGGCGGAAUGUGUAGUGUAGCGGUGAAAUGCUUAGAUAUUACACAGAACACCGAUAGCGAAGGCAGCUUACUAAACUGAUACUGACGCUGAGGCACGAAAGCGUGGGGAGCGAACAGGAUUAGAAACCCUAGUAGUCC
rnacentral:rRNA from 1 species